rnacentral:rRNA from 1 species
GCAAGUCGAACGCGAAAGUCACUUCGGUGGCGAGUAGAGUGGCGGACGGGUGAGUAAUGCUUGGGAAUCUGCCUAAUAGUGGGGGAUAACUACCGGAAACGGUAGCUAAUACCGCAUACGCCCUACGGGGGAAAGAUUUAUCGCUAUUAGAUGAGCCCAAAUCAGAUUAGCUAGUUGGUGGGGUAAAGGCCUACCAAGGCAACGAUCUGUAGCUGGUUUGAGAGAACGAAC